AGGCAUUGCCUUUGAACCUGAUGUGUCUUGUUUGUAGUUUCUUCACUAGCCAAGUAACCUUGUGAGAGCAUAAGGACUUGUAACUGAGGCUCUUCAGCUCUCAACUGAACUGCUCUUUUAAAAACAAGUUGCAGGA